ensembl:lncRNA
AGGGAGCUUACACUAGUAACCCCAUAUGGAGCUCUGCCCUGACUCAGGCUGAGGCGACACAGUAACCAUCUGCCAUUAUGACCAAGUCUCUAAGCAUCAUACUAAAGAAUGGUGCAGGCAGGGGCAAGGAACGUGUCUCAUGUGAGCUGCUGGCUGACACAAGGUUUCAAGAGGGAAAGGUGUUUUUUUUUAUCAGGGAUGAUAGAUCUGUGGGGAUUCUCCAUGUCACUAUGAUUAACCUGACGGCAGAGGAUGAGGUCUUGUAUCUGUAUGUUGUAUCACUUUACAGGAAGGAUGGCUACCACCACUUUAUCUCUAUGUCAAACCAGGGGAAGGAUUUGGGGUUUGUGUGUGUGUGUGUGUGUGUGGUGACACUCCUAUUUUGUCAUGUUGAUGGACAGAGAAAAUGUUUUGAGUACAUUCAGGCUUCCAUACUAACACUCUAUCCCCAGUAGGUCCCAACCAGAGCCAAGGAGAGCCAACCAGAGCCAAGGAGAGCCAACCAGAGCCAAGGAGAGCCAACCAGAGCCAAGGCUCGUAUGGACGCUCACCAGAUGGAUUCUCUUUGCCAUCCUGCAAGCCUGCACUGUGGCUGCUUCAAGGUGGAGAAGGGAGAUAAAUGCAUAGCGACCCCAAGCCCUGUAACCCCUCACUCCGAAGUUGAAUUGCCCUUAAUAACCGCUGGUCCAGAGUCAGAUAUUCUUCUGUCCCAAUAAGAUUAAGGGUUUGGAUUGGGGUUAGGAUAAUCUGAUCCUAGAUCUGUGGUUCGAGGAAACUUCUCAAGUUCUUCCUCCACUGGACCAGGAAAGAACCAGAACUUUGGCCUUGAAUGACCUUUGACCUCCUAUGUUAUAUGAAUAGUCAGCACAAGCUGGGCAAAGUACCGCCACGGUUUGCUCUAUUGUUUACCAGAUCAAUGGCACACUGAUAGUAACUAGUAACUACUAACAAUUGGAUACCACGAAAUUGGGCUAGAAAAGGGGGUAAUAUAAAAAAUAAAAGAAAUUCAGGAGAGGACUUCCCGCUGUGCAGUUUCCGUGCGUUUUCGCACUCUGAAAAGAUGUCUAGGAGCAAUGCAACGUUACAGCAACCUCUAUCACGAUGACAUUCAAAUCCUCACUGCUACCAGGGCUUUGUUCUACACUGCAGAAUUCAAAGUAGCUCAAGUCAUAAGAUAUGACUGCUACCAUUGACGUUCCAAGCUUUGUCCCUUUUGUUCGCGGGCACAAGUAUAUAAAGUAUGUAGCCCUGUGUCAUGUGG